GAGCCCAUAUCUAUCGGGCGAAACUCUUAAGAGAUCGUGGCAAGGGUAUGCUGGGAUUGAGAUGAAUGAAGCCCCAAAUCUAGCACACAUACACGGACGACUUCUGGGGUUCCUAGAGGCUGGUCCUUCUGGAAACGAUACAGGGCUUUGUAACCGAUUGGAUUCAGUGUUGCUUACGCCAUUCUCGAUCUGUUCUUUCACUUACCAAGGUUG
rnacentral:lncRNA from 1 species